GACGAACGCUGGCGGCGUGCUUAACACAUGCAAGUCGAGCGGUAAGGCCCUUUCGGGGGUACACGAGCGGCGAACGGGUGAGUAACACGUGGGUGACCUGCCCUCAGCUCUGGGAUAAGCCUGGGAAACCGGGUCUAAUACCGGAUAUGACUCCAUGACGCAUGUUGUGGGGUGGAAAGCCUUGUGCGGCUGAGGAUGGGCCCGCGGCCUAUCAGCUUGUUGGUGGGGUGAUGGCCUACCAAGGCGACGACGGGUAGCCGGCCUGAGGGGGCGACCGGCCACACUGGGACUGAGACACGGCCCAGACUCCUACGGGAGGCAGCAGGUGGGGAAUCUUGCGCAAUGGGCGAAAGCCUGACGCAGCGACGCCGCGUGAGGGAUGAC
rnacentral:rRNA from 1 species